AUACGUAGGUGGCGAGCGUUGUCCGGAAUUACUGGGCGUAAAGGAUGCGUAGGUGGAUAUUUAAGUGGGAUGUGAAAUCCCCGGGCUCAACCCGGGAACUGCAUUCCAAACUGGGUAUCUAGAGUGCAGGAGAGGAAAGCGGAAUUCCUAGUGUAGCGGUGAAAUGCGUAGAUAUUAGGAGGAACACCAGUGGCGAAGGCGGCUUUCUGGACUGUAACUGACGCUGAGGAAUGAAAGCGUGGGUAGCAAACAGGAUUAGAUACCCUGGUAGUCCACGCCGUAAACGAUGGGUACUAGGUGUAGGAGGUAUCGCCCCCUUCAGGGCCGUAGUUAACACAAUAAGUACCCCGCCUGGGGAGUACGGUCGCAAGACUAAAACUCAAAUGAAUUGACGGGG
rnacentral:rRNA from 1 species